rnacentral:rRNA from 1 species
UACAGAGGUCUCAAGCGUUGUUCGGAUUCAUUGGGCGUAAAGGGUGCGCAGGCGGCGGGGCAAGUCGGACGUGAAAUCUCGGGGCUUAACCCCGAAACUGCGUUCGAUACUGCCCUGCUAGAGGACUGGAGAGGAGACUGGAAUUCCUGGUGUAGCAGUGAAAUGCGUAGAUAUCGGGAGGAACACCUGUGGCGAAAGCGGCUCACUGGACCACAACUGACGCUGAUGCACGAAAGCUAGGGGAGCAAACAGG